rnacentral:rRNA from 1 species
CAAGAGUACGUGAAACUGCUUAGAGGUUAAGCCCGAUGAACCUGAAUAUCCAUUAUGGAAAAUUCAAUGCUAAUAUAAGAAUAUAAAAAAAAUAUUUUUGAAAUAGUAUGCAAUUUUUCCAUAUAAGGACAUUGUAAUCUGUUAAUGUGAUAAAUAUUUAUCAAAAGAUCCAUUACUUAAGUUUAUUCAAAUUGUUUAUCUUCGGAUUUUCAACAUAAAAUAAAUGUUUUGGAUUUGAUAAAUCAUUGACAGAUAUAAUUAUAUAAAGUGCUUAAAUUUUUCGGAAUUUUUACAAUGGUAGAUGAAUCUAUUGAUUUGUUUAUUUAUUGAAUGCGCUUUUAUGAUUAACAAUGCGAUAGAUUCAGGAUACCUUCGGGACCCGUCUUGAAACACGGACCAAGGAGUCUAACAUAUGUGCAAGUCAUUGGGUAUUUUUAAUAAAACCCAAUGGCGUAAUUAACUUAACUUAAUUUAAUGGGAUUAGUUUAUAAUUUGUCAUGAAUUAUUUAUUCAAUCCCGGGGCGUUCUAUACAGUUAUGCAUAAUGAUAUUUAUAUUAUUUAUGCCUCUAACUAGAGCGUACCUUGAGCAUAUAUGCUGUGACCCGAA